rnacentral:rRNA from 1 species
UACGUAGGGUGCGAGCGUUAAUCGGAAUUACUGGGCGUAAAGCGUGCGCAGGCGGCUUCGCAAGUCAGACGUGAAAGCCCCGGGCUUAACCUGGGAAUGGCAUUUGGGACUGCAAGGCUGGAGUUUGGCAGAGGAGACUGGAAUUCCUGGUGUAGCAGUGAAAUGCGUAGAUAUCAGGAGGAAUACCGAUGGCGAAGGCAGGUCUCUGGGCUAUAACUGACGCUCAUGCACGAAAGCGUGGGGAGCAAACAGG